UCCAUAGCCUCACUGGGUUCGGUCUGUGUUUAUGCUUAUUCAUAUGAUUAUUUAUUUGCACCUAUUGAGUUAGUUGGGUUUGAUCGGUCUGGAUUUAUGAUUAGUUAUUUGUACCUAUCAGGUUAGCUGGGUUUGCUUGCCGUUAGAGUCUUCAAUCCAGUUUAGUGUUAGCUUCACCAUAUAAAUUUAUUGCCAAAAAUUAUGCUUG
rnacentral:lncRNA from 1 species